AGCUUUCGAUCUGAUCCUCUGAAGUUAACCUGCUCCGGAGCAGGUUAGCCGUUCAGCAUAAGUUACCAUGGUGAUUUACCACGACAGGAAGUGAACCACCGUCGUUAGACUGAAAACCGAGAGUUAAACUUGAAGUUACCUCGCUAACCGCAAAUCCUGCUUCGUAGUACAGGCCUCUGGACAACGACAUGGGAGUCUCGGCAUAUCUUUGCAAGGUCAUGACGUUGGAGAAGGGGAUCUCAGCCUUGAACAUCUUCCUACAGUGCAUGAGCUGCACCAGCAGGUAGCACACCGUCUUAAACUUCAUCCUCUUGGCUGGUUUGAUGUCCGACAGAAUCAGACCUGGAAAGAUCUGGAAAAGACGACAAAGAUGAUGAGAUGAACAGGAAAGAGAGGGAGAGCUAGUGGCUACUGAGAGGGUGGCGGUAAAGAAAAUGUGGCCUGCCUAUCAGGCUGAAGGAGGGAUGCUGCACAACCACACACACACACACACGUGGAAGGAUGAGUGUGUAUGGCAGCACCUGUCCUCUGAGAUAAAGGACUCCUACAGCGGCAUCCAUCCAGUCAGACAGAGCAGCAAGGAAAGAACAUGACAGACGAGCGCUCACACAAGGAAAUGAGGUGGUUUGAGAUGAUGAGUGCAGCUGAUGUGUUUGUAUCCGUCUGCGCCGCGGUGACACAGCGCCCUGCCCUGCCAGCUCAUUGUGCUCACUGACAUUUCUCCAAAUUGAGGCUCUGACAUGAAGGACGGCGGCGGCGCAGAUGAAAGCUCCAGAGGAGGAGCGUGCAAAGUCACUGUGGACUGCAAAGUAGGAUUAGGGUCAUCCUGGUGGAAUACAGCGCGGGAUUUCUCUCAAGUGAAAGG